CUAUCUAGAGGGAACUUUUGCCUUCCUCAUUUCUAUUUUCAAGACGUUUCUUUCUACACUCACCUCGCUAAUAUACAUGUGUUUUUUUUCUCCUCUAUUCAUCCUUCUCCAUCAGACCAUCGGAUCUAAUAAACUAUGCCGCUAUAUUUUUGUCACUACAUCUUUGUUAUGCUCCUUGAUCGUCCCCUUAGGGAAGCACCAACACUCGGUACUUAGCACAUGCGCCAGGAUCAGAAACCUGGCCGAUUGGCACUUAUCCCUCUCUCGGAACAGGCUUUCACCCCGCUUUAAGCAACGAACCAAAGUACACGAUCGAACGAUACAAUAUAGUGGGAAGGUCCCCUUACAAAGUAGAUCAAAAGAUACAACAUGAGCCUAGAACAAGCCUAACACCUCGCUGAGGCACGAACAACGACCCCCGAUCUCAAUGACAACGCUCCCAAUAGGGUGACGGCAUGAAACUUCGCCGAAUGUCAGUGUUAGAUAUAGCAUCGGCGUGAGACAUUUCCAUAUGACAAAGGCAAAGUCACAUUUGGUGCAAACUUAGAUCUGAUUUUCUACCAUCCUCCAUCAUGCGGUACCAUAUUCCCUGAAAACUAAUACGAAUAAAAUGCAUGACUUGUAGAAGUCGUCAAUAACGAAUGCUGAAGUCUAGUAAAAAUUUGUGUUUUUCUAUAAACAUGCUAAAAACCAUAGAAUAAGCCAUUCCCAACAUUUUAUAUCACAAAAAGAUAAACUUAGCAAGUUGAAAAGGGCUAGAUCACCUUCUCUUUUGAAACAUGUAGUAAAUCGUGAGGAACAUACAUUUUGCCUUCAUUUCUUAAAACUGGGUCACAAACCGCAGAUAGUUUGAACAUGUAUUAGCAAAUUCUAUUAAGAAUACAUCUAUGAAGACACAAUAAGAUUUUGUACAAAAGAAUAACCAUAGGGAUAAUGGAAGGUGAGAAAAGGUUAUGAAUGGAAACAGAGCCAACGUAGUCUGAAUAGCAUAAAUAGCAUGGUACAUAAAAAAACUAUUGAGAAAAUAAAUAAAUAUCAUGCUUAUUUGGUAUAAAGCAUUUCAGUGUCAUUAAAAGGAGAUGAUGCUAAUUAUUUGCCAUCACAAUGAAGUAUGAGUGAGGACCAACCAACUUGUUUUUUUUCUUUAACAUGAAGGAUGGGAAUAAGUCGUAAUGGUCAUUCACCUGUUAACAAAUUUGUAUGGUACAGUAAUUCAUUUUUCGCUAGUCCUUCAAUAAGAAUCCGCAGUUGAUCGCCAUUGAGACACUGUCCUCCAAAGUUGAGUAUCCUGAGAUAAAGCAUAGUGGGAAAUAUUUAGGCAUGCCACACAUAUUGCACAUUGUAUCAAACAACCCAAUUAUAUAAAUGUAUGAUUAGAGAAUUGUGCAUGGUUUAUUGGAUCCAUAUCAAACCCAAGGAGUGGCAAAGGAAAGACAAGAUGCGAUAUAAACAAAUCAUCUUUCAAUCUAAAGAGUAAAUUGCAUUUGUUGCCAGAUAUUAUGUUUAGUAGUCGUGACUUCACCCUGUAUGUUCACAUCAUGCACAUAAAGUGGACCUUCUUUAAUUUUGAUUACACCACUACAAGCACACCCAAAUCCACAAAAAGAACAAAAAAUAAAUCACAAAACCUUCUUCAUAGCUCUACCUCUCUCCACCAUGCGGCCUGGACAGAAGUUUGGCCAUAUCUAGAGUCUUGACUUCAUAGGCUAUUUAUCCCAAGAAUGCUUGUCAUGGACGUCCUACUGCAUAUCAAUCCCACUCGUCGGCGGAUGAAUUUUUGGUGCGGGCUGGUAGCAUGACCUGGGCAAUGGCGUCGACUGAUUUCUGCAUAAGAACAAUACAAAUUAUAAAAUUUCUUAAAAAAAAAACAAAAACACCUUUAAUUUUAUCUAAAUGCCCAAUGUCAGUAUAAAAAUGGGGCAACAAAUAGAAAAGAGGCCAAUCACUUCAUUUUUAUUUAUUAUUUGCUAAUGAGGCCAAUCACUUCAUUAAAUGAACACACUAAAGGCAAUAUUUCCUUUCUCAGUAUCUCAUAAUCUGUCAUUCCAGCAUUCAACUCUUAAAUUCUCAAGCAAGCAUUUUCUCCAAAAGCCAAUUUGGUGAAAAAUUCAUACUGCAAGUAAAUUAGAGAAUAGAUGAAAGUAUCUUACAAGAACUACCUAUAUGUUUUUAAUCGACAAAAGCUAGUCCAUAUGGUCAAAGCUUGCAACGGCUUCUAAGAUGCCAGCAACAGGUUUAAACAUUUUCUUCUUUUUGGUUUCUGGCAAAGAUUAAAAUCGCGGGCGAGAGGGAAUCGCCGCGGGAUUGUUGCAACGACGAUUAAGGAAAUAAUGGCGCAAUCGCCUGAUCUCCCGCUAUUUACUGAGCCAUGCAAAUAGCGGGGCGGUUUCAGAUCCACGAUAGCUUAGAUUUCUCCCGCGAUUUUAAUCUUUGGUUUCUAGAUAAAAUUUGUGCACGGACAUAGGGUAAAAUUACAUGUAAGUGCAAUGAGACAGGGAGAGAAAGAGAUAACAGGAAACUGACAAGUACAUAUUUUUUUUGCUCCCAGCAACAUAUCUCCCAAUGUUUCCAUCCCAGACCAUAUCUCUACUACAAAAUCCUUGCUCCUAGCCUCUCCAACAUGCCCCUUGCAGACAGAGCCGUUGAGAAAACUAUAUCCAAAAACAGUUAAGAAAAUAACUCUUCAGACCCAAGACCCGUGUUGCCCCACCUCCCACCAUGAUACGUCCUCCGAACUCCGUUGCAAUGCCUGCCACUCCGUCGGUUCCCUGCCCAGCUUCCCAUAUCUGCUCUGCCAACACACUUCACCAUGCCUGCGUCCACCCGGCUCGCAACGGUCCUGGCCACUCACGUCCUCUGCCACAAUCUGGCAGUCGUUCGGACGCGCCUUCGCUCGUCCAUCUCGAACAAAAGCUUCACAGGUGCAUGGUCAGGCAAAGUGAGAUUUGGGUGGAUCAGACUGUUCACAACCAAAUCCAUUCCACUGCUAAAAGUGCUAGUAGCAAAGACUACUCGUGCGUAGUAGGAAAAAGAUCCACAACACAUCUUGUCAGUUUUCUAUUAUGAUUCAGAUAUGCUCGUAACCAAUCCCUAGCUGAUAUAGCUAGGAAAGGUCACAAGUGUUCCUUAAAAAACACAAGAUCCUCCAUUAAGGUAUACUUUCUGUUUGGUCGAGCCAUUUCAGCUAAGCCAUCGAAUUCUUUUGGUCAAUUCAGAAUCAUGAUUCCUUAGACCUGAUGAUCUAGCAUACUAUUCCACUAUAUUCUGAACAAUAUUUAAACCGAGGUUUAGACUAAGAUUAGUCCACAACCUGAUUGUGUAUCUCUCACCUGUCUAGUAUCUCAACACUUUAUGAUUAAAACAUAAACAUUGUAACAUACUGGAAAAGCACCAUCAACUGCAGUAAAAUUCAGAAAACGUGAAUAAUGUACCCGUGAUCUAUUUCCGCAUUCUAUGUGCAACCUCAACUACGAUAAACAAUUCAUGCACGAGUACCACCUGUUUAGAACCAAUGAUCAAUCUAAGAGAAAAGCUCCCAAUACGAGGUGCAAUACAUAGUUUACAGAAUUACAUCGACAAAACGAACUACAAAACUAUCUUCUUCACCAAACGAACUUGCAUAAGCUAACGAAAACAGGUAAAUAAUCCAGCUCCAUAAAUGCGGUGCAAAGCAGACUACAUAACAUUUCCUAUUGCCUGCAGGCACUUUAGCACAGAAACAUCAAAACGAACACAAUCAUCUUAAAUUCUUAAUCCAUACCAAAUAGUUCAAUGAUUCCGGAUAGUUCAAAUAGAGAGUUCAUAAAUAGUGGUAAUGAUGAGUAAUACAACACACAUUUUACAGGUGUAGAUAAAAUUAACACCCGAUCACGCGCAAUGUACAUUUUUUUUUAAUAAACAUACAAACUCAAUGGAUCAAUCGAGCAAGACGGUCUUUCAUCGCACAACAUUGCGUACCUGGCAGAGGUCCCUCUCAUUGAGCGUGCGUCCAGCGCCCUCACAUUGUAUCUAUAUACCUAUGUACAUACGAUUCAGGAUAGGUGAAGCAUACAAACGAUCAGAAAGAUAUAGAAAAAUGAACAUAACGUAAAUACCUGUGAUGUUCGGUGAUGUAGGGCACGGCCUUGCGCCGCUCCUCGCUGCAAGAAACGAUGUUCAGGACAGGUGAAGCAUACAAACGAUCAGGAAAUACAGA
rnacentral:lncRNA from 1 species